UUAACUCAAAUUUGCAUGCAGUUGGAACGUUUGCCUACAUUUGCCGCUAGGGGCGCUGUUCCAACUGCAGACAGAUUCACCGA
rnacentral:pre_miRNA from 1 species